GAUGAACGCUGGCGGCGUGCCUAAUACAUGCAAGUCGAACGCUGGAGAUCUAGCUUGCUAGAUCGAAGGAGUGGCGAGCGGGUGAGUAAUACAUAAGCAACCUACCCACGAAGACUGGGAUAAUCUCUGGAAACGGGGACUAAUACCGGAUAGGUAAUCGGAAGGCAUCUUCUGGUUAUUAAAGGUUAAAAACACUGGUGGAUGGGCUUAUGGCGCAUUAGUUAGUUGGUGAGGUAACGGCCCACCAAGACGAUGAUGCGUAGCCGGCCUGAGAGGGUGAACGGCCACAUUGGGACUGAGACACGGCCCAGACUCCUACGGGAGGCAGCAGUAGGGAAUUUUCGGCAAUGGGGGCAACCCUGACCGAGCAACGCCGCGUGAGUGAAGACGGCCUUCGGGUUGUAAAGCUCUGUUGUAAGGGAAGAACGGUAGAUAGAGAAUAUCUAAGUGACGGUACCUUACCAGAAAGCCACGGCUAACUACGUG
rnacentral:rRNA from 1 species